GCGGGAUACUUUGGAGAGGAUCCAUACUGGCCUCAUAAGCCACUGACGGCGGUUCGAAUCCGCUUCCCGCUA
rnacentral:tRNA from 1 species